rnacentral:rRNA from 1 species
AUUGAACGCUGGCGGCAGGCCUAACACAUGUAAGUUGAACGAGUGGCGGACGGGAGAGGAAUGUCUGGGAAACUGCCGGAUGGAGGGGGACAAUUACUGGAAACGGAAGCUAAUACCGCAUACCAUCGGGUGUUUCCAGAUGGGAUUAGCUAGUGGGUGGGGUAAAGGCUCACCUUGGCGACGGUCCCUAGCUGGUCAGGGAGGAUGACCAGCCACACUGGAGCUGUGACUCGGUCCCGUGUCCUACGUGACGCAGCAGUGGGGAAUAUUGGACGAUGGAGGCGGGCCUAAUGCAGCCAUGCCGCGUGUAUGACGCAGGCCUUCGGGUUGUAGAGUACUUUCAGCGGGGAGGCGUUACCCGCAGAAGAAGCCCCGGCUAACUCCGUGCCAGCAGCCGCGGUAAUAC